ACUCGGACGGCGGAGGCAGGAGGUUCCGGGGUGGCUGGGCCGGAUAUUGUUCAUCUUUUACAGGCUGGCUGAUGUUGGGCAGUUCAUUUCAGGUCGUGUUUAUUCAUGGAAAUCCAGGCUCGUGGCUGGAAUCCUAGUGUCUCUGGUUUGGCCUGUUGGUG